ACGGGUGAGUAACACGUGGGCAACCUGCCCUUGAGACGGGGAUAACUCCGGGAAACCGGAGCUAAUACCGGAUAACACAUAUCUUCGCAUGAGGAUAUGUUAGAAGGUGGCUUUUAGCUACCACUCAAGGAUGGGCCCGCGGCGCAUUAGCUAGUUGGUGAGGUAACGGCUCACCAAGGCGACGAUGCGUAGCCGACCUGAGAGGGUGAUCGGCCACACUGGGACUGAGACACGGCCCAGACUCCUACGGGAGGCAGCAGUAGGGAAUCUUCCGCAAUGGACGAAAGUCUGACGGAGCAACGCCGCGUGAGUGAUGAAGGUUUUCGGAUCGUAAAGCUCUGUUGUUAGGGAAGAACAAGUACCUGUUAAAUAAGCAGGUACCUUGACGGUACCUAACCAGAAAGCCACGGCUAACUACGUGCCAGCAGCCGCGGUAAUACGUAGGUGGCAAGCGUUGUCCGGAAUUAUUGGGCGUAAAGCGCGCGCAGGCGGUUCCUUAAGUCUGAUGUGAAAGCCCACGGCUCAACCGUGGAGGGUCAUUGGAAACUGGGA
rnacentral:rRNA from 2 species